AGGCACUGCCAGCCAUGUCCUGCCUCUAAAACAAAAAAAUACCCUUUUUAGCAUUUUCACGCACACUACAAGAGCAAACCUGCAGCUCUUAUUUUUAAUAUUGCUAUUUUUUUCUAGAGAUAAAAGCCUGUUUUUUUAAUAGGAAGGAGAGAAAAUGUCUUCCCUCGCGCAGGAGAGGAGGUCUGGCGUUCAGCUGCUGAGCGCGGCGCUGCUGCCGCUGCUGCUGCUCUCGCUUUCCGGUUGUUCAGGCAUGGAUGUGCUCAUGCCCAGUAACAUUAAUGCACUGAAUGGAUCAACCAUCAAAAUCCCCUGCACAUUUACUUCCUGCUAUAGGAUGGAUGCUACAAAGUUUGCCAUGAACUGGACCUACCAAGAAACACUUAAUGAUACAGAAGUGAUGUUUAUGACAUUCCAUAAGAAAAAAGGAAUGGUGCCUCUGCGUUCAGAACGGUUUGGAGACAGGGUCACAUUUGCUGGGAACCUGGAUAAAAACGACCUGUCAAUCACCCUAUCAGAUGUUCAGCUGGAGGAUGAGGGCAUUUACAACUGCUAUGUGAAAAACCCCCCAGACCGAAUCCAGGGACAUGGUGUCAUACAGCUCAAUGUUGUUACCGAACUUCCCCCGCCGAGGGAUUCAACAAUCGCAGUUGCGAUUGGGGCUUCAGUGGGUGGAGCGUUAGCUCUGCUGAUCCUUUCCAUGGUAGUAGUGAAAUGUCUUCGUCGACACCGGAAACAGGAACUGAUUUCAGAGGAGAAGAUGGAGGAGGAGGGAAAACUGGAGGCUGAUGGUGUUGCGGAGGAGGGAACCAAACAACCAUAGCUGGGCCAUGUGAUUGAAACAGCGGCCUGUGGAGCUCCUCUGGUACACCUUCUCUGACAUGUACACCCCCUUCCUGAAGAUCUGUCGUAACCACUGCUUGAAUCAUUGUCCACUGAUACUUCCAUCCCUUCUGCAUGUGCGUGUGUGUGCCACCGCACACAAGUGUGCUUCUGUGUGUGUGUGUGUGUGUGUGUGUGUGUGUGUGUGUGUGUGUGUGUGUGUGUGUGUAUACUGAAUGUGUCUGUGUGUGCGUGCGUAUUUCUAUAUGUCUGUAUGAGAUGUGUCUCUUUCCUUGAAAUGAGCCAGGGAGGACUUUUCUGCAACUUAACUACUGAACACAUAGUACUUAAUUCAUAGCUACAAGUCAGCAUCAGAAGUCUUAUCUCAUCAUACGGAAAGGCAUUUUCAACGCACGCUAUAGGACAGGCUAGGGCUGGGCGGUAUGACCUAAAAUGUAUACCACAGUAUAGUUUAGGAUGGAGCAGUAACAAUAACCCAACAUCUUAAUAUCUAAUUUUAUUGCCUGAAUCUAUUAUUCAUUAACUAAUAAUAUUGUUAACAGUGGCUGUAGAGGCAGAGUUAAUACCUGAUGGAUGUUAAAAGCUACACACUGCAGAGCAAAUAUUGUGUGUAUAUCUGUUGUAUCGUGAUAACUUGGGUAGUUAACAGCAGCUGCAGUUCAGUUUUGAGAUUUAGUUUGACACACUGUGAAUCCAGUGUCUUUCAACAUUGCCUUAAAGGAAUACUUUGACGAUUGUCAACCAGCUUUGUAUCAUAUUAAUCAAUAGUAACUUCCCUUUACGUUGCCAGCACCCAGAUCUCCCUGCUCAACUCCCAGCGAAAAUGCUGGAUGAAGUAUAGGUGUCAUUCGGCGGAUCCAGCUUUAAGGCUGCCGCUCAACUAUAGAUUGUACUUCUGCAUUUGGACACAAAGAGUUUGAGAUCAAGCAGAUCUUAGAUGAUCAAACCGUAAAACUAGGCAGUGCUGUUCAAAUAUAAACCAAGUUUAAAAAACGAAUGUUUGCUACCAGUCUGCCGCCAUAUUGCUUGCGGAAGGGAAACUCUCAUUACAUUGUCCACCAGCAGGAGUGUUUAGUGUUCUGGUGCAACGCAGUGCAUUCUGGUAGUUGAACGUUUUCUGUCUCUUGAUCAAAAGCAAAUGCCACAGCCCUUUUUCUCUGUUUUCUCUGCUCAUGUAGCACGGACUUCAAAAGUAUAUGCAUCUUACUGCAUAGACAACCCCGUUUUAUGAAAAGACCGUCUUCCCAGCAGUGAAGUACUUCUUUAAAGCCUUGUCUCUCAUCUGCCUGUAUGGGCACCAUGUCUUAAAAUAGAUGCACACUUAGAGUAUGUGUAAUCCAGAGAGUAUUCUUAAACAUUCCUCAUACCUGUCUGGGUUUUUCUUGCCCCGCAUAGUCAGUAGAAUCUGUAGACCUUUUUCACAGUGUACAUUUUGACUUGUCAUAGGGAACCAGGGAGUGAUUUUAGCCCUGAAUGUUUUCUCAAAAGCCCUCAGUCUUUUAAGUUUUUAAAAUGCCUUCAACUUUGUGUCUUUCAGAUAAUAAUAUACCAGUCAGCUACAACAUUAUAACCACUGGUGGGUGAAGUGCAAAACAUUGAUCGUCUUGUUACGCUUCAGUGUUCUGCUGGGAAAGCUUGGGUCCGGGCAGUCAUGUGGACGCCACUUGAUACAUAACACACACCCUUACACCGUUGCAGACCAGGUACCCCUCUCCUCAUGGGAGCAGCACUCCCAAUGGCAUUGGACAGUGUGCCAUCCCACACUUCAGAAGGUGAUGUGUGGCAUGGUGCGUUGUCCAGCUGGGGGGGUACUUGGUCAUUCCACAGGAAUGCCAGGACCCAAGAUUUUCCUGCCGAACUUGAGAAUGUAACGAGAUGAUCAGUGUUGUUCACUUUAUUUGGGAGUGGUUUUAAUGUUUUGGCUGAUCGCUGUAUAUGCUACCGUGCUAUCCUACCAUGCUACUCUCUAAAGAAAUCAAAUACAAUUGAGUAGAUGUUCUUCUGUUGGCCUUAUAUUCAAUUCAGAGCUAAGUGACCACAUCUACUUGGCAUUGUUGCGGAUCCUUGAUUUGCAAUUAGAGUAGCCCAGAUUAGUCAUCCUCAACAUUUGUUCUGUUAUGGUUUCAGAAUGAUGAAGGCAGCUGGAGAACAAGUAGAUACAUAAUAGGUUGUAGGCUGUACAGGCUGAUUUAUUUUUGCAGUAACUAUCAUGUAUUGAUUUUGAUCAUUCUUUUAGGAUGGCGUUCUCUCAGAUGGUUUGAAAAAUAGUGCAUAUAUCUGCUUUAAAUGGUUAAACAAACUUUUUAAGGGUUUGAGCUGAGCCCCCAAAAAUGCACAACUACACUGAUUAAUUUGCAGCGAGUUGUAGUGGUGUUUUUAGAGUACUUUAUAGCAUAUUUAAAUCUUUAUAUUUCUAUUGUAUGUCACUGGUUAUACCGUCCACCCCUAUGACAGAAACUUCUCAGCAUCCAUCUCGGCCUUGCCUAGAGGAAUGAUAUGUUACUGUGCCUGAAUACAGCAGGCACACAUUUCAGUUCAGUCUGUUAUUUGAAGGGUUAAAAUUGAGUCUUGGUUUUAGACCGUACAAUAUCUGUGACUGCAAUACACUGUGCAAUUAUUUGCACACACUGCAUGGGGAAAAUUGUCAGUGUCAGUGUGACAGUGCUGAGCUUCCCUCGCAGAAUUCUUCCCUACAAUACAAAUAAAGCUAGCGCUGGGUGAGAAGUGUGUUGUUUGAGACAGAGUGGAAUGAAUUAUUGUUGACUUCAUGACAGCCUUUUUGUCAAAGUCAAAAACAUAUCAGAGACGAAUCAUAGUAAGAACCUCACACUGCACCCACAGUUCAUGCUGGUGCCAACUGUUAGUAAUAACUAGGGUAAGAAUUAAUAAAGGUUGCCCAAACAGACACAGUUGAAGUAAUCCUGAGCAUGACCCAUAUUACUCACAGAGUUGAGUGCCAUUAACAGACAGUAAUACAGGGAAUUAUACCAAAUGAACCAAAUUGAAAUAUAUGAUGCUUAUAUUCAAAACUGACAGAUAAGAGCCUACUAACAAAAACAUGUAGAAUUUGUUAUUUUAGCAACUGGAAGCAUGUUCAGAGGACUAAACUCCAAACGAAGGAAUACUUCGCACAUCUACUUUCAGACAGGGCUGUAGGAGAGGUAAGAGAGGAACAGAAUUUGUAGAAAAGACUGCAGGAGUCAGGAGUCUUUUCUACUAGAGUACUGUACUGCCAAGAGUACAUGUCAAACAGUGCAUAUCAUAGGGCUGCCCCCGAAUAGUCGACCAAACGUUAGUCGAACAGAAAGGUUGUUAGUCAGCAACAUUUCAUUGGUCGCUUAGUUGCAGAAAAAAAAAAGCACGAAACUCAAUUAGGAGCUGCACCUUGUCAAAAUUGGCGGAAUUUAAUUUGAAAGGACAGACUCAGGAAGUGGCCACGCUCAGCAGUCAGACAGGAGUCACGUUAAUUAAUAAGUCACGUUAUUCCACAGGUUAGUUAAUAACAUGUCGGGCAGGAAAUCCAAAGUGUGGGAUCAUUUUGAGAAGGUGAAGGACGAACCCAAGGUGAUAUGUAAACUCAUCUUCAUUGGUCGACUACAAACAUGACGUAUCAUCUGAAACAUGGAAGUAGCUACAUGCCCAUUAGCCACUUAGCACAAUCAUUACUGCUUUGCCAACAGCGUCAUUAACAGGCGGCUCGCUCAGUGUGUGACGUGCACUUGUAGAUAAAAUAUAGGCCUAUAUUAAUGAAGGCUCAUUAGUACGGUUUUGUAUUUCUCUGUAAUGUAGCACAGUGUUAACAAUGUUACUGAUACUAUUCUUUCUCACACCUUCAACUCAAACCAUUGUGUUGCCCCGCCCAAAAUAUAUCAUUUAAUAAUUACAUUAAGAUCGUAAACAUGCAGACUAGGGUUAGGGGGUUAGAGUUAGGGUUAGGGUUAGUUGACUUAUGGCCCAAAUGACAACUAUUGGUGGACUAGGAAAAUUCUUAGUCGGGGGCAGCCCUAGCAUAUCAAAAAGAAAACUAAUAUAAAAAAGUAAGAAACUAGGUUCUGCUCUUUGAAGUUUACCACUAAACCAAAACAAAGUGUCAGUCAAAGCAUGUUUAAGUUUCCACUCUAUGUCGUAAUCAGGUGGCACCAUUUAUCAAAUAUUAUAACACCUGCAUUUUAUUUAGAUUUCAUUUUGAUACACGCAUAUAUAUUUUGCUUGCAUCUUUAAUUUAUAAAGUCUCAGAGGUAUUCGGUUGCACAUCGGGGAGUUUAGUCUGCCUCCUGUACAAUAUCAAGAAACAACUUUAAUAUGUCAUGUCAUGAAGAAAAAAAAGCUUCCGUAGUACAAAUAAUCUAUGUCUUGUUAUUCUAACUCCAACUGGAGCCCUGUUUUAUAGAGAUUUUGAAAGAAAGAACAACUUUAAACUGAGCCAUUGCACCUCAAUACAAACACAAUGUAGUGUUUAUUUUAAAGCAGAUAAAUAUAUAAUAAAGUUUCAAAAGUUUAAAAACGUACAUCCUAGCUCCGUCUGCAAAGUAAUGCCUUUACCUCAACAGUGGUGUUUAAAACUGUAGAUAUUGUUUUGCACAUUCACAUAUUUUAACCACUUCUAAUAUAAUCAUAGUGGAGAGCAUGUGACUAUAAUGGAAACGAGAAAAUAUAUAUAUAAAGCUCACUUUAAUAAGAUGGUAUAUAUCAGAAUGUGGAGCUGUUGUAAUAGAAACAUGGCAUGAUGAUUGUAUGGUUAAAUGGGAAAUGUAUCGGUAGUGUGUUUAGUUGAUCAUUUAUUUGGUUGGAGCACUUUAAUGUUAAAAAAAAUAUAUAUUAUCUUGAUAAAAAUCACUGUUAAAUGUCCAUGUUGCAGCAUGUGAGCUUUGGUACUCUCUGAAUGUCUUAUGUUUUAACUAUGUUGUGAUGACAGGCUGUCGUAGAGUGAUGUCUCUAUGAUACCUCUCGUGUCUUAAACUGGCUCGCUGUGUCAUCCAGGUGUUGGAGAGUGCUUCCAAAUCUGGUGACUCGGCCAGUCCUGGUUUCAGACAAUGUUUUUAAAAAAAACGCAGAUCUAGGUUUAGGCCUAUUACUCUACUUUUUUGUUUGUUUUUAUCAUUUGUGAUACUAUUUUCCAACAUUAUAUGUAAUGUGUGAUUUCCUCAAAUAUCAAUACGGUCAUUAAACACAAACAAGCUGUAAAGAACAACAAUAAAAUGGUGAUUUGUUUUUUUUGUUUUUUUUUUAAAGUAGGCAAAAUACAUAAACCUUUCCUGGGACGCCGCUGUCUGUGUGUGAUCGUGUAUGUUAACGUUGACCCAUGUGGUGAUGUCAGGUUAACAUUUGGGCGGAUUUAGUGCAGGAAGGUUUUGUCUGCAAUAUGAAGUCAGAUACAUAAUGUAUAUUGUAUAUACUGUAUUUCUCAGAAACAAUGGAACAAAUAAAAACAUGAAUACUGUGUCAUGUACUAGGCAGAUUCAUCAUUGUGCAUCACUGUUUACCAUCUCUGGCUAUGAGUUUGCCCUGAGUAGUUGCUCUUGUAUCACUUUGAAAUGAUAGUGAACACCAAACUAAUGCUUGCACUGUGCUGCCUGUUAUCAAGCAGCUGUCAUUACAUUAUGUAUUUUAAAUAAAGAUGAUUUAGGAAAA